rnacentral:rRNA from 1 species
UGGGGAAUAUUGGACAAUGGGCGCAAGCCUGAUCCAGCCAUGCCGCGUGGGUGAUGAAGGCCCUAGGGUUGUAAAGCCCUUUCGGCGGGGAAGAUAAUGACGGUACCCGCAGAAGAAGCCCCGGCUAACUUCGUGCCAGCAGCCGCGGUAAUACGAAGGGGGCUAGCGUUGCUCGGAAUCACUGGGCGUAAAGCGCACGUAGGCGGAUCCUUAAGUCGGGGGUGAAAUCCUGGAGCUCAACUCCAGAACUGCCUUCGAUACUGAGGAUCUCGAGUCCGGGAGAGGUGAGUGGAACUGCGAGUGUAGAGGUGAAAUUCGUAGAUAUUCGCAAGAACACCAGUGGCGAAGGCGGCUCACUGGCCCGGUACUGACGCUGAGGUGCGAAAGCGUGGGGAGCAAACAGG